UUUUUGUUUGAGUGCAUACAUUCCAUAAUAUCUUUGACCUAACAUAUAUGGUUUACAGAAAUUCUAGACCAAGAGCUCAAAUUUAACUUCAUUUUAAUGUGUUAAGCCUAAGUAACCUUAACCUAACCAAUCCAAAUAGAAAUAAAGAUACUUUUUUUCUUUUCAUUUCUUUUGUUUGUAUUUCUUCAUUUUUAUGAAAUUAUAUAUUGUGAUGGGAUUUGUAAAAUCCUAUCAU
rnacentral:lncRNA from 1 species